ensembl:lncRNA
AUUUCAGCAGAAGGAUUAGGGUGGUUGUCUAGCAGUGCCACUGCGGUCGUUGUAUACGAGUCGCCAGCAGAUGGAGCUAAUGGACCGUAGAAUAUGUUGAACAACUUGAUGUUGCACCCUGCGUGAAACCAGCCAGUCGCACUAAUUUAGGACUUGACGAAAGUUAAACUCGCUGGUUUAAUGUGGUUCAUUCGUUUUUGGAUGAUGCAAAACAUCGAACAAGACACGUGUGACUCAAGAUUGCAAUGACUGUACUUCGGUGGUGGCUGGUGUCGACCGAGGCAGCGGGUCAAGAUAUCCUGGUCAUCCCCCCGUCCCUCAGACAGAGGUUUGAAUCGGGAGUGAAAGAGAUAGUUAAUUGCCGGCCUCGUCAAGAGCAACUGUGCCAGCGUUUGAUGUGCGGUGGAAACACAAUCUAUAUACCGUGGUUAUUUAUUCAUGUGAGAGAGGGAUGAAAC